rnacentral:rRNA from 1 species
UACGGAGGGGACUAGCGUUGUUCGGAAUUACGUGGGCGUAAAGCGCACGUAGGCGGAUUUGUAAGUCAGGGGUGAAAUCCCGGGGCUCAACCUCGGAACUGCCUUUGAUACUGCAAAUCUCGAGUCCGGAAGAGGUGAGUGGAAUUCCUAGUGUAGAGGUGAAAAUUCGUAGAUAUUAGGAAGAACACCAGUGGCGAAGGCGGCUCACUGGUCCGGUACUGACGCUGAGGUGCGAAAGCGUGGGGAGCAAAGCAGGGAUUA